ACGCUGGCGGCGUGCCUAAUACAUGCAAGUAGAACGCUGAAGCUUGGUGCUUGCACCGAGCGGAUGAGUUGCGAACGGGUGAGUAACGCGUAGGUAACCUGCCUGGUAGCGGGGGAUAACUAUUGGAAACGAUAGCUAAUACCGCAUAACAGUAGAUGUUGCAUGACAUUUGCUUGAAAGGGGCAAUUGCUCCACUACCAGAUGGACCUGCGUUGUAUUAGCUAGUUGGUGAGGUAACGGCUCACCAAGGCGACGAUACAUAGCCGACCUGAGAGGGUGAUCGGCCACACUGGGACUGAGACACGGCCCAGACUCCUACGGGAGGCAGCAGUAGGGAAUCUUCGGCAAUGGACGGAAGUCUGACCGAGCAACGCCGCGUGAGUGAAGAAGGUUUUCGGAUCGUAAAGCUCUGUUGUAAGAGAAGAUCGAGUGUGAGAGUGGAAAGUUCACACUGUGACGGUAACUUACCAGAAAGGGACGGCUAACUACGUGCCAGCAGCCGCGGUAAUACGUAGGUCCCGAGCGUUAUCCGGAUUUAUUGGGCGUAAAGCGAGCGCAGGCGGUUAGAUAAGUCUGAAGUUAAAGGCUGUGGCUUAACCAUAGUACGCUUUGGGAACUGUUUAACUUGAGUGCAGAAGGGGAGAGUGGAAUUCCAUGUGUAGCGGUGAAAUGCGUAGAUAUAUGGAGGAACACCGGUGGCGAAAGCGGCUCUCUGGUCUGUAACUGACGCUGAGGCUCGAAAGCGUGGGGAGCAAACAGGAUUAGAUACCCUGGUAGUCCACGCCGUAAACGAUGAGUGCUAGGUGUUGGGUCCUUUCCGGGACUCAGUGCCGCAGCUAACGCAUUAAGCACUCCGCCUGGGGAGUACGACCGCAAGGUUGAAACUCAAAGGAAUUGACGGGGGCCCGCA
rnacentral:rRNA from 1 species